rnacentral:tRNA from 1 species
CCGGCGCUGGCGGGCCGAGAGGCCGCGGGCGGUGCUGCCGGCCCCGCGGUCGGUGCCGGUCCCGGACGGGGUGCGGUCCGGGGCGGUGCCGUCGGC